UCUUUCCUGUUGCUCAGUUGGUAGAGCAUUGUGCUAACAAUGCAAAGGUCGUGGGUUCAAUCCAGGGAAAGCA